rnacentral:rRNA from 1 species
UCUUUUAAGGGUCGUUGAAGAUGACGACGUUGAUAGGCUAUAGGUGUAAAGGCAGUAAUGUCAUAGCCGAGUAGUACUAAUUACCCGUAGAUUUAUAGC